AGGUUUUUUUCCCCUAAGGCACGAGCUAGUAGGUGGUCCUUCUAUUUGGAUUUUUACGGUACAAGAUAGACGGAAGUAAGUGGGAGGAGAUAUGUAAAUAAGAACAGCACAUAGGGCUUCUAAUUUGCCGGAUGUGAGCAGAGUAUUCUGGGAGAUUUUAUUUCCCCCUUUUUAGCGCCGAAUGGAAAAUAAUUUACAUUAAGCGACUUUCACAUAGAUAUUACUCUAUGAUUGCGAGAAUCCUGAAACACUGGAUUCGUGCUAAAGCUGUCACAAUCUCACCCUCGCUGUAACCGGAAACGUCUUUACCAAUGAGGAAUGGGCCCCGUGAGCUCCGUAUCGUCAGGAGGUUAAUCCUUACCUGUUCCUCCUCUGGAGGGCAGAUAGAAAAUGAUGAUUGGAGCCUGCAUGAUCUGCUGAUUAGCAUUUCCGUGUAGCCAGGACCUGACAACAUCCUGGCUGCUCCUAUCUGAUUCUCUGACGAUCACACUUGUUUCUGACGCGUGAACUGACAGACCUUUAUAGCCACUCUAAGAGGCUUCAGGUCCCCUGGAGCUGGAGCUUUAGGUGGUUGUGAUCUCCCUACUGUGAUUGCUGGGAACAGAAGUCUGGAAGAGCAGCAGGCACCACUUCCCCAGCCACAAGGAUGGGAGGAGUUCAUGAGCCAGCGUGGGAUGAUCCAGCCCCCUUCCACCCCAACUUCUGAACCAGGAGUCCUGUGAAGAGGAAAAAACAAGGAAGCAGGCUUUCUUUUAUAUUUUUAAUUUUUGUUCUUAUCUUUGAG